UGGAGAGGCCCCCGGACCGCGAGCGGCAGCUGGGGAGGGGGCCGCGGAGCCGGAGCGCGAGAAACAGCUGAUCCGAUUUUCCUUAAAGCGAGAGAAAAUGGAAGUCGGGUAGCGGCGACUGAGGCGCUGCGGGCUGGCCGAGCGGAGCGGCACGGCGCGGCAGCAGCUGUGUGGCCCACCAGGUUGAAGGCCAGCUUAACAUCUGAAGAGGGUUGAGAGUGCAGAGGCUGGGACCUACCUGUACGGCACACAAAGUUCUGGGGAAAUUUCUCCUCCUAAAUUCGAGCAGCGUGCCAGCCUUAUUGUGUGUAUCAGCAGAGUUUCACAUGAUGCUAGGGAUGGGUGUGAACAGACCGCCAAACCCAUCCCUCUGUGAGAUUCAGUUUCUCAGUUACUGAGUUUGGCAAGAGGAUAAGAUCUACCCGACUUCGCCUAACAGAGCAGAACCAUGACGCCGUGACGGACAGUGUCCCCUCUCGGUAUUCUCUCUGCUGCAAAAGUUGCCCAAGAAGGAACCGAACCACUGUACCCGUGAUGAUAAAAGUGGGGGUUCACGAUUCAACACUGCUGCCUCAGCAAAGCAGCCCUUUAUGAGAGUGGAAGGUCUGUGGUCCUUCCCCCGCCCGCCCAAGCUCUGGAUGAGGCCAGGGAGGAAGAGAGAAGCAGAGACAUUUUCUGAGCAGGAGGGCGUGUUGGCCAUCCACUCCCCAGCGUGAUGGAACAACCUGUCUAAAUUCACAGAGCUGCCAAGCCUGCAGCAUGGAAGACCAAGUUCCUCAUGUUCUUCCGAUCAGUUCAUUGUGUUGCCCAAGAGAUGGGCAGUGACGUUUUGCCCCGAAUUCCUGGUGGUAUUCGUGGACCAGUGGGCAAAGGCAUGAGAAAGCACCUCUUGUAUGGACGUUUGGUCGCCCCAGCAGCAGACCUUCCCCGAGGGUCCCGGGUGCUGGCCCAGGCUGAGUCUGAGUGACAUAAGGAAAACUGGGGCGCUGCAUGAUCUCUGGGCAGCUACCAGGCUGGAGAGGAGUCCGCACGUGAGGCAUCACGUCGGCGGAGCACAGCCAGGCAGGAGCCACGCUUCCUCCAUGGUGGACAGGUGGGGUGGGGGCCUCCACGUCCGAGGCACAUUCUCCAGGGAGGCAGAGCCCUUCACAAGUCCAGGUUGGGUUUCUUCAUCUAGAUAUCAGGCUGUACUUUGUAAAUUAAGACUAUACAAAUGUAAGAAACUGU